GAAAUGCGAUAAGUAAUGUGAAUUGCAGAAUUCAGUGAAUCAUCGAAUCUUUGAACGCACAUUGCGCCCGCCAGUAUUCUGGCGGGCAUGCCUGUUCGAGCGUCAUUUCAACCAUCAAGCCCCCGGCUUGUGUUGGGGACCUGCGGCUGCCCGCAGGCCCUGAAAAACAGUGGCGGGCUCGCUGUCACACCGAGCGUAGUAGCAUACAUUCUCGCUCAGGGCGUGCUGCGGGUUCCGGCCGUUAAACGACCUUCAUAACCCAAGGUUGACCUAGGAUCAGGUAGGAAGACCCGCUGAACUUAAGC
rnacentral:misc_RNA from 1 species